GCUGCUCGGAGUGCCCAGGGGUGAAACAGCAUGGGAGCUGACCUGGCGUCUGUCUCCACACUGAUCCCUCUGUCCUGUGGGGUCACAGCUAACUCUACAGGACACAGGCAGGCAUGAGAUUGGUGCCCUGCGCAUGCUCACCGAGUAAGGGGGCAGCGGUCCGCUGGCUGGGCACUGGGGCAGAUCCAGAGGUGAGGGCGGCACAGAGGUCAGACCUGUGAAUCCAGAUCCAUGUCAUAGAGUCCACCCAGCACAGCCACGGUGUCCACCCAGCACGGCCACAGUGUCCACCCAACACGGCCAUGGUGUCCACUUAACAGUCACAGUGUCCACCCAACACAGUCACGAUGUCCACCCAACACAGCCAUGGGGUUCACCCAACAUGGUCACAGUGUCCACCCAACACAGCCAUGGUGUCCACCCAACACGGCCACGGUGUCCACCCAACAUAGCCACAGUGUCCACCCAACAUGGCCAUGGUGUCCAUCCAACACAGCCAUGGGGUUCACCCAACAUGGCCAUGGUGUCCACCCAACACGGCCACGGUGUCCACCCAACAUGGCCACGAUGUCCACCCAACACAGCCAUGGUGUCCACCCAAUGCAGACAUGGUGUCCACCCAACAUGGCCACGGUAUCCACCCAACAUGGCCACACUGUCCACCCAACACAGCCAUGGUAUCCACCCAACACGCCCUGGUGUCCACCCAACACGGCCACGGUGUCCACCCAACACAGCCAUGGUGUCCACCCAACGCAGCCAUGGUGUCCGCCCAACAUGGCCACGGUAUCCACCCAACAUGGCCACAGUGUCCACCCAACACGGCCACGGUGUCCACCCAACGCAGCCAUGGUGUCCACCCAACAUGGCCACAGUGUCCACCCAACGCAGCCAUGGUGUCCACCCAACACGGCCACGGUGUCCACCCAACACGGCCAUGGUGUCCACCCAACACGGCCAUGGUGUCCACCCAACGCAGCCAUGGUGUCCGCCUAACACAGUCACGGUGUCCACCCAACGCAGCCAGUCCUGCAGUGGGGGAGCGAGCAAAGUGAGGUCACAUUGUCAGAGGUUUCAGAGCCACAACUUGAGACAGAACAGUGACCCCAAAACAGGCUGCAGAGAGCAUUCACAUAACGAUGAUUCUUUCCCUCUGAAACUGUCUUGCUUGCUGUUGACCCCAGUGUCUCCCACCA
rnacentral:lncRNA from 1 species